AUGCUUGCCCGAAGACCGACUGUACAAGGUUGUAUCGAUCUAUCUAUAUACAACCAUGCCUCUUUCAGUUUUAUAUCUGUGCGAAGCCAGAUCCAGAAUGAGUCGAUAGAGUUGGGAUUAGCGAUACAACAUCUGGGGGCUAUGCUUUUUGAGCUUGGACGGACAAUGAUGACGCUUAGAAUGGGGCCAUCUCCUGCUAAUGCUUUUGUAAGUGCUGGGCAUGCUGUUUAUACAAACCCCACUGGACCAAGUCCAAUCAUGGUUCAGGCUACCUGUAUAGCUUUGCUUUCCUAUCAUGAACUGCUGACAACUUUGUUUUGGGCUAUCAUGCUAGCAUGCAUUGUAACAUAUAUCACUAUGUAUUAA
rnacentral:rRNA from 1 species